rnacentral:rRNA from 1 species
UACGUAGGGGGCAAGCGUUGUCCGGAAUCAUUGGGCGUAAAGAGCGUGUAGGCGGCUUGGUAAGUCCGCUGUGAAAGUCCAGGGCUCAACCCUGGAAUGCCGGUGGAAACUGUCAAGCUUGAGUCCGGAAGAGGCGAGUGGAAUUCCUGGUGUAGCGGUGAAAUGCGCAGAUAUCAGGAGGAACACCAAUGGCGAAGGCAGCUCGCUGGGACGGUACUGACGCUGAGACGCGAAAGCGUGGGGAG